rnacentral:rRNA from 1 species
UACGGGGGGGGGAAGCGUUGUUCGGAAUUACUGGGCGUAAAGGGCUCGUAGGCGGCCAACUAAGUCAGACGUGAAAUCCCUCAGCUUAACUGGGGAACUGCGUCUGAUACUGGAUGGCUUGGAUUUGGGAGAGGGAUGCGGAAUUCCAGGUGUAGCGGUGAAAUGCGUAGAUAUCUGGAGGAACACCGGUGGCGAAGGCGGCAUCCUGGACCAAUAUUGACGCUGAGGAGCGAAAGCCAGGGGAGCAAACGGG